rnacentral:lncRNA from 1 species
GUGAAUCUAAAUUUACAAACUCCUAUAUAUAAUGCUUAUGAAAAAAGUGCAAUCUAAAAAUAACGGAAACAAAAAAAAUCAAACACAAAUAUAAACACAAAAUUAAGUUACUAUUACAGGUAAAUUUAAGCUACUAUCAUAAGUUAUACCAUGGCAUCAGCUACUUACAAACUACUGCAUAGAAAAUUUGGCGCAAGUAAUUGAAACUUAAAAAAAGAGUCACAACAAUUGCUUGAUCUGCUUUACAAAAUGUGUUGAUUAAGCUGAAAAACUAAAUUAAAGUAGAGCAAACAUAAAGAGAACAAAUGUAAAGCAACUCAAAUUUUAUAUUACUUAAGUUUAAAAAAGUUUUAAAAAUAUGGCUCUAAGGAUGAUGACUCUAUUCUUCCAUCCCUCCCGUCUUUCCUGGAUCUAAAUCAGAUUCAUGCAAUUGUAUUAUUAUAUUUGUAAAAUCAUUGUCUUAUAUGUCCAAACACAUAUUUGCACACAUAUAUCCAAGGGAAAAGUAGAGAAAGAAUAUACCAUUUUAGGUAGAGUUAUAAUGAUUAAUUACAUCAAAUCAUACAAAGUUACAUCUAUUUAAAUCAUAUUCUCUCAUAAAAAGUUGUCCGGAUAUAUAGAUACAGAAGUAUAUUAUUCAACUACAUUCACCAAAUAAUAAUCAAUAUCUUCUAUUGAUUAAAAGAUAGACAUUCCAAAACCCUUAAAGAUAUCAUUCAAUCAAUGUUUUAUAAUUAAUAGAAGACCAAUAUUUAUAUAAUUUUCUAACAUUUUAUUGUUAUUUUGGUAGAUUAGCAAAUUACAUUAUUAUUAUCAUGAUAAUAAAUUUAAAUUACGCAAAUAUUAAAUAGAUGUGAGUAACAUGAAAGUUAGAUUAUGAAAUAAUCUUGUGUAAUAUUAGAAAUAACCACCAACCUAAAUAAAGAUUGAGGAUAAAAUUGUAUGACUUACUAAUACAUGAAUUCUGACUUGAAUCCAAGUGCGAGCAUAACAAAUAGUUUUUAACUAAUAUUAGAGAAAGAUUAUAAGAUACACUAAUGUCUUAAAAGGAAAAUACUAACAAGUGUCCUUAUUAAGAAUCUAAAUAUAUAAAAAAAUUAUUAAAAGUGUAUUGGAAGUUGGGUAUUCAAAAUUUUAAAGGUUUUUUUGUUUUUUAAGAAAAAAUUACUACUUUUGAAAUACAAUAUUAGAAACCUAGAAUCAAUAGAUAUAUUUCUUUGCAGAUUAAAAAUAAUUAAGCUAUAUUAAUUUUUUUUUACUGUAUAAGGUAUAUUUUUUUCUUUUCAUUUUUGGCAAACUAAAAUCAAGGUGGUGUCAACAUUUCUAUAUUCCUAACUAUUUGAUUAUGUUCACAGCUCUAUUUGAUUAUGGCCAGCAUCUACCAAAACCAAAUUCACCCUCCAAAACGAUUUGAGUUGCAACCGUUCCAAAAUACUUAGGGUCACAUUGCUCUAAAAGUCAAUAAGAGUGAGUAAUUCAAAGAUGGCCAGCCUUAUAUAAUAAUACGAAUAAAAUCAAGUUUCCUAGAAGGUAAGUCUCAAGAUAGUUAGAGUUAAAAAUCCAACUAUAAAAUGGGGUUGCGCCACAGCAUUCUUCCACAUAAUCACAACCAAAACCAACUUGCAAGAAAACAAAAAUGGGGUCCCUAAUGACCUCUGCUUCUCUCACUCUUGCAUUGGCCAUUCUCUUUUUCAAUUUACCAUCUGAAAUUUCAGCAAACCGUCACGAUUCUUAUUCCUCUCCACCACCACCACUAGUACCAGUCUACUCACCACCACCGUCACCGGUCUACUCACCACCACCAUCACCAAUCUACUCACCACCACCAGUUUACUCACCACCUCCACUAGUCUACUCACCACCACCAGUCUACUCACCACCUCCCCCAAAAUACUCAUCACCUCCACCACCAGUUCACACCUACCCUCAUCCACACCCAGUUUACCAUUCUCCACCACCCCCUGCUCACAAGUAUCCUCACCCUCACCCUGUUUACCACUCUCCACCACCACCAGUUCACAAGUACCCUCAUCCUCACCCUAUUUACCACUCUCCACCACCACCCGUUCACAAGUACCCUCAUCCUCACCCUAUUUACCACUCUCCACCACCACCCGUUCACAAGUACCCUCAUCCUCACCCUGUUUACCACUCUCCACCACCACCAGUUCACAAGUACCCUCAUCCUCACCCUGUUUACCACUCUCCACCACCACCAGUUCACAAGUACCCUCAUCCUCACCCUGUUUACCACUCUCCACCACCACCCGUUCACAAGUACCCUCAUCCUCACCCUAUUUACCACUCUCCACCACCACCGGUCCACAAGUACCCUCAUCCUCAUCCUAUUUACCAUUCUCCCCCACCACCAGUGCACACCUACCCCCCUCACAUUCCUCACCCAGUUUACCAUUCUCCUCCACCACCAUACAAGAAGCCUUAUAAGUACCACUCUCCUCCUCCAGUCCAUUCCCCACCUCCACCACACUAUUAUUAUAAAUCACCUCCUCCACCUUACCAUUACUAGAUAGCUGAUACUUGGCAUCACACUAUAUGGUAAGUUUUCAUGCAACAUGUAUAUUAUUAUAUAAGUACCAAACUUCCCUUCUCUAAUCAACUCACAUUCUCUCUUUAACUUAUUAUCAGUAUGAUUUUCGAGUAUAUACAAUCCUAAUUUAAAAUGAAGCUCCAUUGUGUGUAAUGAAACAUUAUUUUGCUGUUUAAUAUUUUAGUCUCCAUUUCUUGUAAAUUAAGUAAUCUUUUUCAUAGCAUUUGGUUAAGGGAUUAUAGUAUCAGACAUAAACUGAUAGAUCAAUAUAUAUUUGUUUUUUGUGUAGGAUCUAAACAGAAAGUGUGAAAGCAAAGAAAGCCGUGGACGUUGCAAAAAGAAGAUUGAGGGGAUUCUUCUCACAUAUAUUUCGUCAGUGUUUGAUUAAUAUUGUUAAGAGAGCUGCGUUUAUUUAUUUAAUUUUUGUUUUUUGUUGUAUUAGCACAGCUAUAAGGCACUGCCCCAGCAUCCACGUGUCUGCAGUGGCGUGCAUGCGUUGUAAUUUUCAAAGUUUGGUUUAUCAAGUUGACUGACAAACCAAAUAAAUAUAUUCCCCUGUUCUAGUAAUCUGUCCCUUGCACCUAUGGCUCCUUUUCUAUUCUUUUAGUGAUAAUAAUACUAAUACUAAUAAUAAUAAUAAUAAUAAUAAUAAUAAUAAUAAUAAUAAUAAUAAUAAUUUACACUUAAAAGUGAAUUUUAUAGCAAUUUUAAGAGAAGACAAAAGAAAUAAAAGAAUAAUGCUUCUCAAAAAAUACAAUAAUACCAUGAUAUAAAGGAUCAUGUAUCAAUGGGUAUUUGUUUUUUGAACCGCAAAGAUUUAUAACAUAAACAAGAGUAUAAGGAGUACUCUAAUCAACUACAAAAAAGAAAAGAGGUGCAACACAUCAAAUGAAACAAUAGCACACGCCAAAAGCAAUACAGAAGAACUACAUUAUAAUCCAAAGUAAUCAAAAUUGGGUUGGCCAUUUAACUGGUAUAGGCAGCCGUUCAAGGUUUAAAGGUCUCACCGGAGUCGCACUGGUACUAAUAUAAUAUCUUAAAUUUUAUUUUUAAUAUAAUAUAUAAAUUAAUAAUAAAUAAAAAAUAACAUAAUAUUGGCAUCAGUCUACUUCUCAUGUUGUAUUCAUGGUUCGAACAAGCAGAAGUAUUGGCAUAGUCUACUUUAACGAGGAUAUGUUUUAUUUGGUGGAGAUGUUCUUGAUAUAUUGCAAAUUGAUUUCGCAAUGUUUUGAGCAGGAGGGGUGGCAUCAAUUCUUAGCAUUGGUACUGUGUUAGUAUGGGUGUAUUUAUGCAAUACAAAUUGUAUUAGAUAUCAUGGCAUAUUUGUGUUUGUGGACUUUAUUCAUUAAUAAGAGUGUUUUUUUUUUUUUUGCCUUUGUAAAAUAAAUAAAAAUAGUUUAAUUUUUUACUUUUGAAGAAGCACAGCCACAUAAAAAAGCUUUGGCGUUUCUCUUUUUGUCUUGCAUAAGUCUCGUAUUGGUAAGUUUAAAAUAUACAGGGUAGAAUAUUUGAUAUAAAAUGAAGUGUAUAUGACAUUGAAACUUUAAAUCAAAUCACUUUGGCAUGAUUUGGGUUAGUUUAGGCCUUCAAUUGUGAGGCCCAUUUCACCCAUAAUGCAAAAUGAUCAUUUUUUGGAUUUUUGAUAACUUUUUUUAAAUAAAAAAAAAAAAGUAAAAAAUAAAAAAUUUCAGUUCAAAGUGUGGGACUCGUAUUGAUUGUAUCCAAUAAAAAAGUGAGUAUUAGAGUGAGUGUUGAAAAGAGAGUCUUGUUAACACUCCUCUAGAGAUUAAUUGAUAUUCUCAUAUUAGUAUGCUGAUUUGGUUCAUCUUGUAGAUUGGAUAAAAUCCAUAUACUAGCAACGAUUUUUGGCUAAAUCGAAGGAAGCGUCUUGUUUGUUUCUCUGAAUUGUCUAUAAUUUAUAUACUACCAAUAGUUUUUCACAGAUAUCUCUGGAUUAGAUAUGUCGAUGUGUCUGACACACGUACGACACGUGUGCAAUUCAGACAAGUGUCCCAAUUUUUUUCUUUAAUUCGAUACACCUUAACACCCUUUGACACAUCUCAGACACAUCUACAUGAGGUUAAAUAUGUGUCAAAGCAAUGAUGAUUAAUGAGGGAGGUUAAACGUGUUUAGCUUUUUGGUAGUAGAUGGAUCAACGAAGGAGGAAACUAUCGUAUCUUAUUUUAAAAUUUGUUUGUAAUGAAAAAAAUUGCUUAAUUUGUAUGUACAUAUAUAUUUUGAUUCUCAAUUUAGAUAUUUUAUAAAUGAUAUUCAUAAUUUAUUUAAUUAUAAUAAAAAAUAAAUAUAUGUAUAUAGAUAACAAUUAGAUCUAGACUCAGUGGGUACCCGCAAAAAAAUCUAAAAUGCGUAGGUUAAAACCCGCAUAUUGUGUAUAGGGACAGGUAAUUAUCCGCAAAAUUGAACGAGUAUGAGUGUAAGUACGAGUACUAUAGAACCCUACCCAAAUCCUACCCAUUGUCAUCCCUAUACAUUCAGUGUUCUAUGUUUUUACAUUGGCAAUGUUGACAUGUUCGUGUCGGUCUCAAAGUCUUUGCUUCAUAGGUUAUAAUUCUAGAUAUAAAUAGUCUGUACUCCCUCUUAUGUUGGUGUUAGUAUGUGGUUUGUUUUGCAUCUAUCUUAUCUUGUUAAAGGGUUAGAUUAGCCUUAUACUCUUUAUCAAUAAAUUUUCUAUGUUCUUAAAAUAAAAACAUGGCAAUUGAUAAAAAAAAAAUGUUAUUACCUGAUAAAAAAACAGACAUAGUACAUCACAGUGCCUUUAUUUCCUGCGCUGGACCAACAUUCAUUAAAUAAUGUUAGAACAGGAUUGACAUAUAAACUCUGCAAACAAAUAUACAUACAUCAAGUAAUUAUCUUGUAUCGAUUACAUUUGUUGAGUUUACAAAAUGAAUGGAAAAAAAAAUCCAAUUGCAAUCAAAUAUUUAUGAAAUUGUAAGCUCUAGGAAUAAAAUUAUAAUUGAAACUAUCAGUUAUGAAUAUUACUCCCAAAAUUACACAAAUGCAAUAGCAAUUUGAGGUGCAACUCACACUUUGUUUCUAUUUUGAGUGAUGAAUAUUCUAUAUGAUUGAUCAAUAGACGAAAAAUGGUGUAAUGGGUGACGAUAUCCAAAGUAAUAAUCAAACCUAAAAUCAUUAGAAAUGCAUAAAACAGAGAACUGUGCCUUAUUCUUCUACGUCUAUAUAAAGUCAAAUAGAAAUAGAAUAGAGUGUUAAUAGACAAUACCUUUACGAUUUUGGUUCACAAAAAACUCUUCCACAACUUUGAUUGUGCAAACUGGUGUUGUUUCAAAGGAUAAAAUCUAUGUAUAUAAACAAGCGUAAGCCGUAUUAUUAGGCGAAGGAUAAACUUAAAGGAAAUGCAAGAGGAUGGAUAGAGGAAUUGAAGGGUUACAAUUACAAUGUGAGCAUUCGUUUUGAUGAGCAAGUUGCCGCUGUGUUUCUCAAGUUUCACCACUUCAGUCUUGCCACCAGUUU